rnacentral:ncRNA from 1 species
ACGUUCCCGGGCCUUGUACACACCGCCCGUCAAGUCACGAAAGUUGGUAACACCCGAAGCCGGUGGCCUAACCCCUUGUGGGAGGGAGCCGUCGAAGGUGGGACCGGCGAUUGGGACUAAGUCGUAACAAGGUAGCCGUACCGGAAGGUGCGGCUGGAUCACCUCCUUU